UUGCUUAGGUAGCACAUAGACUAAAAUUGGAAUGAUACAGAGAAGACUAGCAUGGCCCUUAUGCAAGGAUGACACGCAAAUAUAUAUACACAUAAUAUAUUAUA